GUUGAACGCUGGCGGCAGGCCUAACACAUGCAAGUCGAGCGGAUGAAGGGAGCUUGCUCCUGUAUUCAGCGGCGGACGGGUGAGUAAUGCCUAGGAAUCUGCCUGGUCGUGGGGGAUAACGUCCGGAAACGGGCGCUAAUACCGCAUCCGUCCUGAGGUUGAACGUGGGGGUUCUUCGGACCUCACCCUAUCUGCUGAGCCUAGGUCGGAUUAGCUAGUUGGUGGGGUAAAGGCCUACCAAGGCGACGAUCCGUAACUGGUCUGAGAGGAUGAUCAGUCACACUGGAACUGAGACACGGUCCAGACUCCUACGGGAGGCAGCAGUGGGGAAUAUUGGACAAUGGGCGAAAGCCUGAUCCAGCCAUGCCGCGUGUGUGAAGAAGGUCUUCGGAUUGUAAAGCACUUUAAGUUGGGAGGAAGGGCAGUAAGUUAAUACCUGGCUGUUUUGACGUUACCAAAAGAAUAAGCACCGGCUAACUUCGUG
rnacentral:rRNA from 1 species